rnacentral:lncRNA from 1 species
ACAAGUUUUAUGUGAUUUAUUUUUUAGAUGUGCUGAAGAGACAAACACAACACAAUGAUGUACCGAGAAGUUACAUAAUAAUUAUUAUAAUUUUAAGAUUUAUUUUACAAAUCUAUAAGGGCCAACAAUUAAAAAUUAAUAAAAGGUAAGGACGCACUUUUAUUUAUAAAUUAUAAAGUUACAAAAUAAUUUAUUAAAAAUAACGAGGAGAAAUAUGGUAGAAAUAAUAAAGUUUGCUUAUAUUGUGAUUAUAUUAUUCUUUCUAUUUCUUAUUGGAACGAAAAUUGAAGGUAAGUUUUAUUUAUUUAUUUUAAAUUUUCUUUUCUAUUUCAUACGUUGUAUUUUAUCUCAUUUUAAUAACCUUAUUGUUUGUUUUUUAGUGCACCAGAUAAAUUCAAAUGUUUUGAUUAUUGAGAUUGUAAAAUCAGAAUUCAUUGUUUGCCUCCUUUUAAAAAGAAAAUGCAUAAACAAAAUUUAUUGUAAAUAUAUACUAGCGCAUGAAUUGUUUAAUCCGAUAAGAUAAACAAAUACCUUUAUGAGUUUACAAAUUUAUUUUUUAAUUGAGAGAACACACAAAUACCUAAUAUAUUUUAUUUUAUGUAUUGUCAUAUGUCAUUUGGAUAUUGUAUUGUUACCCCCAACAAGAUAAUAUUUUUGUAAUUUUAUUUCAAGAAUCUAAUAGUUGGGGAUUUAUACACUAGUAUGAUUGAAAUGAAAUCAAAUAAGACAACAAAUAAUAAUAUUUUUACUAUCAUUUCCUUUUUAAUUUUAGAAAAAACUAAUAAUAUUUUGAUUGUCUUUUUCCCUUUUAAGGAUGCACUUUUAUUUAUAUCCUAUAAAGGUACAAAAUAAUUUACUAAAAAUGACGAGGAGAAAUAUGGUAGAAAUAAUAAAUUUUUCUUAUGUUAUGAUUAUAUUAUUCUUUCUAUUUGAAAAUUGAAGAUAAGUUUUAUUCAUUCAUUUGAAUUUUUCUUUUUUAUUUCAUAUGUUGUAUUUUUUAAUCAUUUUAAUAAGUUUAUUUUGUGUUUUUUAUUACAGCGGAUAGAUACAAAUGUUUUGAUGAUUCAGAUUGUAAAAAUAGAAUUUAUUGUCAGCCUCCUUUAAAAAGGAAAUGCAUAAACAAGAAUUAUUGUAAAUGUGUACUAGCGCGUGAAUUGCUUAAUCCCAGAAGAUAAAUAAAUACCUUUAUGAGUUUACAAUUUUAGUUUUUAAUUGAAAGACUCAAGAGAACACACAAACACCAUAUAUUUUGUGUUGUCAUAUGUCAUUUGGAUAUUGUAUUGUUACUCCAACAAUUUGAUUUUUUUUAUUUUAUUUCAAGAAUUUAAUAGUUGUGGAUUUAUAUACUAGUAUGAUUAUAGUGAAAUGAAAUUAGACAAAAAAUAAUAAUAUUUUUAUUGUUUUUUCCUUUUUAAUUUAAAAAAUAUAUUUUUUGAUUGUCUUUUUCCCUUUUAAUUUUAGAGAAAUAUUCAUGACCUUCAUUUAUGC